rnacentral:rRNA from 1 species
CGGGGCCCCCGCACAAGCGGUGGAGUAUUGUGGUUUAAUUCGAUGCAACCGCGAAGAACCUUACCAGGGCUUGACAUGUUUGGUGGUAGGAAGCCGAAAAGGUAACCGACCCUUCGGGGAGCCUUCACAGGUGCUGCAUGGCUGUCGUCAGCUCGUGUCGUGAGAUGUUGGGUUAAGUCCCGCAACGAGCGCGACCCCUACCCUUAGUUGCCAUCAGUUCGGCUGGGAACUCUAGGGGAACUGCCGGUGACAAACCGGAGGAAGGUGGGGAUGACGUCAAGCCCUCAUGGCCCUUAUGUCCUGGGCUACACACGUACUACAAUGGUCGGUACAAUGAGUCGCAAUACCGCGAGGUGGAGCCAAUCUCAAAAAACCGGCCUCAAUUCAGAUUGGAGUCUGCAACUCGACUCCAUGAAGUUGGAAUCGCUAGUAAUCGCGGAUCAGCAUGCCGCGGUGAAUUCGUUCCCGGGGCUUGUACACACCGCCCGUCACACCACGAAAGUUGGUUGCACUAGAAGUCGCCAGGCGAACCGCAAGGAUGCAGGCGCCUAAGGUGUGAUCAAUGAGUGGGGUGAAGUCGUAACAAGGUAACCAAGGGCGAA